CAAACAUGCUCCCUUUGGUCAAUGGGAACUUACACAAAAUCCUUCUAAUUUAAUUUCUCUCGGGGUCUCUACCAUGCAUUCAUUCCGUUAUUAAUAUCAUUGUUUUUUACAGCAGGCAGUAAGCAACAGGAACACGAGGCACCAAUAUCAUAUUUUCUUCGACAGUCUUUUGGCUACAAGGGAACAAAAAUACUCCUUGACAGAAGACUAAUCACAACAAAAGCAACCCAGAAAAAACAAUGAAAAUUGAAUAUUCUCCCACUUCUAGUAGCUAGUUAGGUCAGUUCCUGCACCCAAAUAUUACUCUGACUGACAUCUGAUACUAAUGUGAAUCUGAAUAAAACAGAAACGGAUCGACAUCCUAUGUUGACAACCAAUCUGCACACCCCUAGUCACACUUUGCUGAGCUAGUUGGAACCCUACUGAAUCUUCUUUUCCUUGCUUGAUGGCAGUGGAAUCUUCUUUAGGAGGCUUUCAUCGAUUUUCCUAUACUGUGUUUGAAUGAUUCUGUGUGUUACAGACAACUUUUCAUCAAUGCGGUGCUGGUAUUUGUCAUAAAGUACAGGAACUGAAAGGCUAAGGAGAACCCCAAUAUAGACGAGAGUGAGAAAAUUGCAGAGACUACCAAUAUAGGAUGCUACCCACAAACCAAAAGCGACCUGAAGGAACAUUUUCAAAUUUCUGCCAAUUGCAAUCUCACGUGCAAUUGACAGCGCAUGAUUGGCAUACAAUUGAAGCACAUCAGCAGCCUUGACAAUAGUCUCCUCAGAAAUUUCCAGGUCAGGCAGGGGAGGCAGAGGCCUGUUGAGAAGGGAAGCAGAUUUGGCCCAGAAGAAUAGAAUGGCAACAAGAAGGAACAACACAUUGGCUACAAAUGACAAGAUAUUAUAACCGGCUCGCUCAAACAGCAUCCACAUGGUAGUCGCUGUCAAUAGAAUCGUAACACUCCCACACCAUUUCUUCCAUAACAGCACAUCGGCCACUGCACCGCCACCAAGAGCUUGAUGAACGGAUAUGCGACGAGGAGGAAUGGAUUCUCCCAUGAAGAUCGAAUUUAGGGUUUAUAAAUACAAAAGAUUGCAGAGAGAGAGAGUAGGAGUACAGAGAGGGAGAUGGGAAUACAAAACGUUAC
rnacentral:misc_RNA from 1 species